UAACAUUCCUGCAUGGAUUCCCAAGUUUGGGAGCAGACCAGCUGAGACGAACACUCAGUGAACCCACAGACCUUGGCCCAGAAGCUGGGCCUUGAGCCUCCUGGGACCCUGGUUAUGCCCCAGCUUCCUCCUCCUGUCUACUCCACCCCCAAAUCCCACAGAGUUCUCAGUGGGAUUUUCAUGCCAAUCUUUGAGCUUCAGAAAGAUUGCAACAGGCCAGUGGGGUCGAGGAGACCAAAGCGUGCAUGGUGGGAAAUGUCCCAUCCUGAGGAGCAGAGCUGUGGGAGCUGUGUUUUGUAUAUGGGACAUAUGUUUGCAACUGAUGCUCUAUUCAUGAUUUUUCCAACCCGGGCCCUCCCAAUACCGGACAGAGCAGAGAAGGAGGGGGAGCCUUCAUGAUCAUAAUCACACAUCCCAUGACCUGAACUCAAAGCAUCCAGAAACCCAGAAAUAAACACUAUUGAGCAGAGAGAGCUUUCGGAGAAGUCCUCUAGCUAUGGCUCAAGGAUGGGACAAAGGAACUUCUAAUGUGCCAUAAGGCGACAACAUUAGUUCUUAAUCCCACAACUAAAGAGAGAUGAGAAGACCUUGGCGGAGCUCCAAGGAAGGUUUGCCUCAGGCAACGGCAUCGCUUGGCGCCGGCCAGGAUGACAGCACGGCCUCAGGAAGGUAGGGAUAUGACAAGGCCAGCAUUUGGGGAAACUCUUUCUCAUGCUUCCUGUCAUGUCACCUGCCUGUGAGUUGCUGACCUAAAGAUGUAAAAGAUACAAACGGGUUGUCUUAUCAGUUAUAUUUCAAGUCUUAAUUUCCUCUGGGCUAGCUUAUGUUAUGCCCAGUUUAAGGUCACUCAGCCCCUCUAAACCUAGGCUUUGGCUACACACGGAACAUCAGUUGCUUUCCUUACAGAACUUUGAUUUAAUACAAAAGAAUUUGCUAUUAAAAACGCAUUUGUGAUAUUCAACCUGGUCUUUCUUUUCUAAUUUCAUUUCAUUUCUCUUAAUCAUAUUCAGAGAUAGUAUGAGAAUGAAAUCAUUUGUUUGUCGAGCAAAUAUUUGUUGGGUCCCAGUCUUCCUUAUGCAUUAUGCAAAGCGUCAUGGGGGAGAAAAGAAAUACAUGCUACGUAGAUGUUCCCUCAAAGAGCCUUGCAGUUCCUUUGAAGACCUGGGGCACGCACAUGUGCAAAGUUAAAGAAGAGUCAAGAACCGCUGUACAAUCCAACAAGGCAGGAGGUGCCACAAAG